rnacentral:rRNA from 1 species
GACGAACGCUGGCGGCGUGCCUAAUACAUGCAAGUCGAACGCUUCUUUUCUACCGAGUGCUUGCACUCACUUGAAAAGAGGAGUGGCGGACGGGUGAGUAACACGUGGGUAACCUGCCCAUAAGAGGGGGAUAACAGUCGGAAACGAUUGCUAAUACCGCAUACACGAGAAACCGCAUGGUUUCUUAGUAAAAGGUGGCUUUCAUGCUACCACUUAUGGAUGGACCCGCGGCGUAUUAGCUAGUUGGUGAGGUAACGGCUCACCAAGGCGAUGAUACGUAGCCGACCUGAGAGGGUGAUCGGCCACACUGGGACUGAGACACGGCCCAGACUCCUACGGGAGGCAGCAGUAGGGAAUCUUCCGCAAUGGACGAAAGUCUGACGGAGCAACGCCGCGUGAGUGAAGAAGGUUUUCGGAUCGUAAAACUCUGUUGUUAGAGAAGAACAAGUAGGAGAGUAACUGCUCUUACCUUGACGGUACCUAACCAGAAAGCCACGGCUAACUACGUGCCAGCAGCCGCCGUAAGAC